GGGUUGUGAGGUUAAGCGAAUAAGCGUACACGGUGGAUGCCUAGGCAGUCAGAGGCGAUGAAGGACGUGCUAAUCUGCGAUAAGCGCCGGUAAGGUGAUAUGAACCGUUAUAACCGGCGAUUUCCGAAUGGGGAAACCCAGUGUGAUCCGUCACACUAUCAUUACCUGAAUACAUAGGGUAAUGAAGCGAACCGGGAGAACUGAAACAUCUAAGUACCCCGAGGAAAAGAAAUCAAACGAGAUUCCCCCAGUAGCGGCGAGCGAACGGGGAGCAGCCCAGAACCUUAAUCACUAUCAGCAUCAGGAGAACAGUCUGGAAAGGCUGGCCACAGCAGGUGAUAGCCCUGUAUCCGAAGGUGUUGGUAGUGUGAGUUCGAUGAGUAAGGCGGGACACGUGUUAUCCUGUCUGAAUACGGGGGGACCAUCCUCCAAGGCUAAAUACUCCUGACUGACCGAUAGUGAACCAGUACCGUGAGGGAAAGGCGAAAAGAACCCCGGCGAGGGGAGUGAAAAAGAACCUGAAACCGUGUACGUACAAGCAGUGGGAGCACCCUUCGGGGUGUGACUGCGUACCUUUUGUAUAAUGGGUCAGCGACUUAUAUUCUGUAGCAAGGUUAACCGAAUAGGGGAGCCGCAGGGAAACCGAGUCUUAACUGGGCGAAUUAGUUGCAGGGUAUAGACCCGAAACCCGGUGAUCUAGCCAUGGGCAGGUUGAAGGUUGGGUAACACUAACUGGAGGACCGAACCGACUAAUGUUGAAAAAUUAGCGGAUGACUUGUGGCUGGGGGUGAAAGGCCAAUCAAACCGGGAGAUAGCUGGUUCUCCCCGAAAGCUAUUUAGGUAGCGCCUCGUGAACUCAUCUCCGGGGGUAGAGCACUGUUUCGGCUAGGGGGUCAUCCCGACUUACCAACCCGAUGCAAACUGCGAAUACCGGAGAAUGUUAUCACGGGAGACACACGGCGGGUGCUAACGUUCGUCGUGAAGAGGGAAACAACCCAGACCGCCGGCUAAGGUCCCAAAGUCAUAAUUAAGUGGGAAACGAAGUGGGAAGGCUCAGACAGCCAGGAUGUUGGCUUAGAAGCAGCCAUCAUUUAAAGAAAGCGUAAUAGCUCACUGGUCGAGUCGGCCUGCGCGGAAGAUGUAACGGGGCUAAAUUAUGCACCGAAGCCGCGGCAGCGAUAUGUAAAUAUUGUUGGGUAGGGGAGCGUUCUGUAAGCCUGUGAAGGUGGCCUGUGAGGGUUGCUGGAGGUAUCAGAAGUGCGAAUGCUGACAUAAGUAACGAUAAUGCGGGUGAAAAACCCGCACGCCGGAAGACCAAGGGUUCCUGUCCAACGUUAAUCGGGGCAGGGUGAGUCGACCCCUAAGGCGAGGCUGAAAAGCGUAGUCGAUGGGCAACGGGUUAAUAUUCCCGUACUGGUGGUAACUGCGAAGGGGGGACGGAGAAAGCUAAAUCAUCCGGGCGACGGUUGUCCCGGUUUAAGCGUGCAGGUGGACUGACCAGGCAAAUCCGGUCGGUUGUUAACACUGAGGCGUGACGACGAGCCACUACGGUGGUGAAGUGAUUGAUGCUCUGCUUCCGGGAAAAGCCUCUAAGCUCCAGGUUAUCAUUAAUCGUACCCCAAACCGACACAGGUGGUCAGGUAGAGAAUACUCAGGCGCUUGAGAGAACUCGGGUGAAGGAACUAGGCAAAAUGGUGCCGUAACUUCGGGAGAAGGCACGCUGGCACUAGGUGAAGUGAUUUACUCAUGGAGCUGAAGCCAGCCGCAGAUACCAGCUGGCUGCAACUGUUUAUUAAAAACACAGCACUGUGCAAACACGAAAGUGGACGUAUACGGUGUGACGCCUGCCCGGUGCCGGAAGGUUAAUUGAUGAGGUCAGCCGCAAGGCGAAGCUUCUGAUCGAAGCCCCGGUAAACGGCGGCCGUAACUAUAACGGUCCUAAGGUAGCGAAAUUCCUUGUCGGGUAAGUUCCGACCUGCACGAAUGGCGUAAUGAUGGCCAGGCUGUCUCCACCCGAGACUCAGUGAAAUUGAACUCGCUGUGAAGAUGCAGUGUACCCGCGGCAAGACGGAAAGACCCCGUGAACCUUUACUAUAGCUUGACACUGAACAUUGAGCCUUGAUGUGUAGGAUAGGUGGGAGGCAACGAAGCGUGGACGCCAGUCUGCGCGGAGCCAUCCUUGAAAUACCACCCUUUAACGUUUGAUGUUCUAACCCGGGUCCAUAAUCUGGAUCGGGGACCGUGUCUGGUGGGUAGUUUGACUGGGGCGGUCUCCUCCCAAAGAGUAACGGAGGAGCACGAAGGUUGGCUAAGCAUGGUCGGACAUCAUGCGGUUAGUGCAAAGGCAUAAGCCAGCUUGACUGCGAGAGUGACGGCUCGAGCAGGUACGAAAGUAGGUCUUAGUGAUCCGGUGGUUCUGAAUGGAAGGGCCAUCGCUCAACGGAUAAAAGGUACUCCGGGGAUAACAGGCUGAUACCGCCCAAGAGUUCAUAUCGACGGCGGUGUUUGGCACCUCGAUGUCGGCUCAUCACAUCCUGGGGCUGAAGUAGGUCCCAAGGGUAUGGCUGUUCGCCAUUUAAAGUGGUACGCGAGCUGGGUUUAGAACGUCGUGAGACAGUUCGGUCCCUAUCUGCCGUGGGCGCUGGAAGAUUGAGAGGGGUUGCUCCUAGUACGAGAGGACCGGAGUGAACGCACCACUGGUGUACGGGUUGUGAUGCCAAUUGCAUUGCCCGGUAGCUAAGUGCGGAAGAGAUAACCGCUGAAAGCAUCUAAGCGGGAAACUUGCCUCGAGAUGAGUCUUCCCUGACCCUUUAAGGGUCCUGAAGGAACGUUUGAGACUAAGACGUUGAUAGGCUGGGUGUGUAAGCGCAGCGAUGCGUUGAGCUGACCAGUACUAAUGAACCGGGAGGCUUAACCUGACAACACCGAAGGUGUUU
rnacentral:rRNA from 1 species